rnacentral:lncRNA from 10 species
CCCGCCCGCCCCUCGCGCAGCGCCAUUGGCUCAGGUGCCGCGAGGCGGGGAGGGGCAGGGGGCGGGCCGGGGAUGAUUCACCUUGAAUGUGGCUCCGGUUGGUGCGCGGCGCAGGGCACGCCCGUCCGGGACUGCGGAGACGCCGGGAGCCCCGCCUGCUUGCCCAACCCGGCCGGGUCUGGCCCCAAGGGGUCCCGUCGCCCGCCUUCUAUCCCCGCCUCCUGCCCUCGGGCUAGGGUGCCGCUAGCCGAGGUGCGCCCGGACGCCCUGCCACCCCAGCGCCCUCUGAGCCCGGAGCUAGCCGAGGGCCUGCUGAAGCCGUAGAUGUCGCAGCCAGAUGGAUCGGGAAGCAAGAUUCCCACCCCAGGUGGAUAACUGGACGAGUCUCAGGGCCUCGGGGCCCCUCUCCCCAUGCAGCCAGGGAUGGGCACGAUCCAAUGUCCGUCUGGCAAUUGCCCCAUUCCCUCUCGCUGGAGAGAUCCCUUCCGCCUCGCCACAGGCGUCCCACGCUGCCCGGAGUCGUGCGCCCCGGGACGGGUAGUUUUGGGUUCCUCGACGCUUGGCCAGGUUUAGGAAAGACCCGCUGUCUUCCUUGCUGCCCCCACCUAGGAGACUCGGCGCCUUGCGCUCCGUCCUUUUUAAUGGUGUCGCGGCUUGUCCCUCUGGCUUGCUCCCUCCUAGUCCCUACCCCACACGGCUCCCUUCGCCAGCUCCAUGACAAUCCCACUCGUGCUGAAGACCUUGGGCAAAGAAGUAACCAUCGGUCUUCCCCUCCCUUCCCAUUCCUCCGGCGGCAGGACUAGGGGGAAAGGUGCCCGGGAUACAAGCCCCUCACGCAGACCCACUGAUGCGGCCGUGGUUCUGCCAUUGGCCCCUCUCCGAAUGGUGAGGUUCUCCUGCUAACCCUGGCCCCAUGGCAUAACUAGUAUAACCCCAGUGAGAGGAACCCAGAGUUCCAGUCCUCCCCUGCUCCAGUCCCUCUGUGAUCUCGAUCUCGAGGGAUUCACUUCACCUCUCUAAGCCUCAGUUUCCCAUUUGCAAAAUGGGCAGAAUGACUCGCACCUCUGGGGAUGAAGAAAAUGCACAUGUGAGCACGUGGGUACUUGGCGACCCGGAGAUCUCUGCAAACUGCAGGCCCAGCGAGAUGGCCUCAGCACGCCCUGCACCCUCGUCCGCGCGACUGCCGCCGGGUGCCCGCCCCAGCCGCUGUGUCCCUGGUGCUUCCUCCGCCAGGGCCACGUGCCGGGGAAGCCAAAGCGGGAGUCUUUCGAUCUUGGCCCAGCCCUUAGCCCUCGGUCCUUUGCUCUAGCAUCUAGAUUCUCGUGGGUCAACAAAGUCACUGGAAACCCAACGAACUUCCCGACAUUUUUCGAAAACCGUAUGCGUGUGCUUCUGUGCGUUUUUCCUCUGAUCGAGGUAGGGCCCUGUAGGGUUCUGUUUGGACGGGAGGCUGGAGUGGUUCCUUCCCGGCUGCGGGGUCGGAGGAUGCAGAGAUUCGAAAGAAGGAGAAACACAGAGACUGUCAAAUGAAAGGAGAUUCUGUCUUCGGAAUCGACCCAGCUCUUUAAAAGAAUGAGGAAAACAUGGGGUCUUUAUAUAUCCUGGAAAGUCGCCUAGGCGUUCAGUGAAAAACGCAAAAGGCACGUGGAUUCCUAUUUGUGUAAAAAUAUAAAUGGGGCAGGGGGUUAAACAUCAGGUUUUUUCUGCACGAAAGGUCUCAGCGCAGAGGGUUGGAGAUUUUUCUUUUCAUUGUAUGUCUUUCGGGACUGUUCGAAGCCAAUGUGUGUUGCUUACCAUAUUCUUGCAUUGAAUUUUCAAUUAAAAAAAGAAACUGCAGGAAUUGUUUUUUGUUUGUUUGUUUGUUUUGAGACGGAGUCUCGCUCUGUAGCCCAGACUGGAGUGCAGUGGCGCUAUUUAGGCUCACUGCAACCUCCGCCUCCUGGGCUCAAGCGAUUCUCCUGCCUCAGUCUCCCGAGUAGCUGGGAUUACAGGCGCGUGCCACCACGCCCGGCUAAUUUUUUUUCCUUUUUUCUUUUUUUUUUUUUUUUUAGUAGAGGCGG